GACGAACGCUGGCGGCGUGCUUAACACAUGCAAGUCGAACGGAAAGGCCCUGCUUUUGUGGGGUGCUCGAGUGGCGAACGGGUGAGUAACACGUGAGUAACCUGCCCUUGACUUUGGGAUAACUUCAGGAAACUGGGGCUAAUACCGGAUAGGAGCUCAUGCUGCAUGGUGGGGGUUGGAAAGUUUCGGCGGUUGGGGAUGGACUCGCGGCUUAUCAGCUUGUUGGUGGGGUAGUGGCUUACCAAGGCUUUGACGGGUAGCCGGCCUGAGAGGGUGACCGGCCACAUUGGGCCUGAGAUACGGCCCAGACUCCUACGGGAGGCAGCAGUGGGGAAUAUUGCACAAUGGGCGGAAGCCUGAUGCAGCAACGCCGCGUGCGGGAUGACGGCCUUCGGGUUGUAAACCGCUUUCGCCUGUGACGAAGCGUGAGUGACGGUAAUGGGUAAAGAAGCACCGGCUAACUACGUG
rnacentral:rRNA from 1 species